GUCUAUGGCCAUGCCACCCUGAAUGUGCCUGAUCUCCUCUAACCUCAGAAGCUAAGCAGGAUUGGGACUGGGAAGUGCUUGGAUGGGAGACCACCUAGGAAGACCAGGUGCCGUAGGUG
rnacentral:rRNA from 1 species